UUUGAUUUUAUACCUACAAAAUGCGGCUACACCUUUUCUUUGCAUUUCUUGUACCAUUUUCUCUCUAUUAUCUUCAAUAAACCCUGGUUCUCAAAAAUUCUAAAUUCAAUUUCGAACAUCCCUAAACUCAUCUCUCUCUUCAAUUCGCGAUUUGCCGUAAGAAAAGCAACUCGGUGUUGAAGAAGAUGCUGGUGUUUUGUGAAAGGAAGUUAAGAGAUUGAAGGUUAAAGUUUCGGGUAUUAGUUCGGUUUUGGAACGACAAACUAAGGAGUUAGAUGAACUUAAAGAUGAGCUCUGACUUGCAAAGAGCAGUCAAAGAAAGAAAUAGCAUUAAAGAAUGAAGCGUUGAAUCAGAAAGCAUCAAUGCAAAUCCAGCUUCAUGUGAAAACAGAGGAGCUUGAGAAGUCAAGUUUGGAGCGUUUUAGAUUGCAAGAGAGAAAUAUGGCUUUGCUAAAGAGUUCGCAACAUUAAAAUUGUGAGUGGAGCUGCAGUUUGAUUGAGUUUCUAUACUUUGCUAUUAUAUAAUAUUUUUUUGUAUGUUUGUCAGGAACACUGAAAUGACAAUGGAAAAUCGAACUUUGUGUUUGGUGGAAUAAUGUCUUUAAUAAUUUAGGAGAUGGAAUUAUGAGUUUGGAUUUUGAACAAGCUGAGGACAACAAGCCAGUAUUGAACAUAUCCUAACCUUCAUUUUCUCAAUGUUGGUUUUCAUUUAGAUUCGUCCUUUGUUUUCAUUGAACUAGGGGAAAAAGUUAAAAGUUCGCAUGAAUUAAGAAGUAAAGUUUGAAUAAGCUUUGGACUAAUUAAAAGUUUACAUUUCUAGGACUUAAAAUCUUUUGUACCUAUAGCGUUCCUAGCGUGGGUGAUGCUGGUUCCUGUCAACUGGACAAGCACUGGGAUAGAAACGGCUGGGAUAAAAAACAUAACUUCCAGCGACAUUGAUAAGCUCUCAGUUUCAAUGUCCAGCGUGGAUCUGAAAGGUUUUGGUCACACAUAGUAGCUGCUUAUGCAUUUACCUUCUGGACAUGCUAAAUUUUGAUGAGGGAGUAUGAAAAAGUUGCCUCAACGAGAUUACAAUUUGUUGCAGCAGAAAAGCGUUGUCCUUAUCAAUUUUCAGUGCGUAAUACAUUUGAACCUAUAGCCUCAUACAAACUACCGAAUCCUCUCACCACUAGCCCAAUCACAGUGAUUAAAGGUGCUAUGCCUACUUAGUAAUAUUUCUAGGUGCUUGUUUGAAACAUUCCUCCAGAUCUUGAUGAAUCUGUUAGUGAGCUCGUUGAGCACUUCUUUCUGGUCAAUCAUCUGGAUAACUAUCUUACUCACCAGGUUGUUUAUAAUGCAAACAAAUUAGCAAAGUUGGUUAAAAAGAAGAGUAAGCUGCAGAAUUGGCUCGUCUGUUAUCAAAAUAAACUUGACAGAACUUCAAACUGAAAUGAAGGGAUUAGUUUUAAACUGAACUGCAGAAUUGGCUCCGCAUCACUAGCGUCAAUGGCUGAAAAUUUUCAGCGUUCUGCAAUUGAAUUUGCUUGUUCUAUGCAACACAACUCUUCCACCCACUUUCGUACCUUUCAGAUGUAUUGAUGGUAGCACGAGAGAAUCCGACUUUCGGUGUCAGGUUUUGCUAUUUCUGUUGCGCUUCUUGUUACAAGAGGUAUUUUCCCAUCUUUUUCACAUACAAGUAUAUUGUUUCAAUUAAGGAACUUUGCAUCUUUAAUUGUAUAUUGUUACAAGGGGCUAUACUGUGACAAAAUUGGGGAAACUAAUGCAGGAUCAAUGCUUAUUUCUUUUUAUUUGUGUAAUUUCAUUACACUCCUUUCUCUUUUUGCUAUCAGAUAUGUCUUUGCUGUCACCACUAAAAAUCAGCAUAGUAAGUCGUACUAAAACUCAUUGAUUUCAUGAUUUGACUCUUGGCAGUUUCCUUUUAUUGUUGAACUUCUCACUUGCAUUUGAAUUUCUGACUUGCAUUUGAAUUUCCAACAAUAUAUGAAUUAAGGACAAGGAACCACACCAAAGUAUAACAAUAGGCAAAUUCUUGAAUAAUAUCCACAAUUAGUUUCACUUCACUAAUAAUCCAUGUUAAACACAAUAAACUAUUUGUUGUGUGAAGCAGUCUUAUUUUUAUCCUCAAUCCUCACAUAAAAUGCAAUUCUAUUUAUCCCUGUUAAUUGUUGUUAUAUGGACUGGUAUGCAGUUGAAAAAUGAUAAAGUUAAAGUAAGUUUUGGUUGAUAAGUAAUAACUUUUGUCUCUAUGCGCACUCUUUUGCAGGUAGUCACAAAUCUACUAAUCAAUGAACAUUGGUUUGAGACCAAUAAAAAUUUAACCUUUCUGUUGUAACAUUUAGGAUUUGUUGGAUCUGAUGAAAAUAGUGGAGAUGAUGACAUUGGUAGCUAUCAUAUUGAAUAGUAUUCGUUUUUAUUUUGUUAAUUUGGUUGUAUCAUAUACUUGAUUAUACUUAGUUUUGAUUUUUGAACAUGAUAUAAAUUGUGUCGGAGUAUUGCAAUAGUAUUUCAA